GGGGUUGGGGUUCAGUGGUAGAGUGCUUACCUAGCACAUAGGAGGUACUGGGUUCAAUCCUCAGCACCACA
rnacentral:tRNA from 1 species